CCUUAGUCUGAAUCUUAACACGUGGAGCUGAUAAGGCAGCUUCAUUUAGAGGUUGACGAGCUCAGGAAGCAGAAGAAGAGGCAGAAUGUGACUGGCCUCCACAAAUAUCUGCAGCUUUUGGAAGGAAAGUCUUUCUAUCCCUGUUUAGUGGAUGCAGAGGGAGACGUGAUCUCCUUCCCACCGAUCACUAACAGUGUAAAAACCAAGAUAAAGAAGACAACCAAAGAGUUGCUGGUAGAGGUGACGAGCUCAACCAGCUUGCAGACCUGCAAAGAUGUCAUGGAUGCUUUGAUCAUAAAAAUGGCAGAAUUAAACAAGUUCACAGCUGAGCAUAAGGAGCUAGCAGGGUCAGACGGAGAGGCUGAUGAAGCCCCAGAGCCAGCCACCGUCACUGAGACCUCCAGCCACCUCAUCGUCCAGCAGGUCCGAACCGUCGACCAGGACGGAAACCUGAAGGUCGUCUACCCGUCAAAAACGGACCUCUCCAAAGAAAUCAGUAACAUAACAGUGAUUUGGUGAAAAGGCUUUUUGUGUGAAUGCCCUUUAACAUCUGAUGGAUUAUUUUUAAUCUUUUGGAUCCUAAGCUAACAUCAAUUUUGAUUUCAAGCAUCAGAUCGGUAUUACACAUGUACAAAUAAUCACAUUUGUAUGAAAAACUUCCUGAGUAAAACUGUACUCUUUUUAAUUGU